GGCGAACGGGUGAGUAACGCGUGGGAACGUACCUUUUGGUUCGGGACAACCCUGGGAAACUGGGGCUAAUACCGGAUACGCUCUACGGAGGAAAGAUUUAUCGCCGAGAGAUCGGCCCGCGUUGGAUUAGCUUGUUGGUGAGGUAAUGGCUCACCAAGGCUACGAUCUAUAGCUGGUCUGAGAGGAUGAUCAGCCACACUGGGACUGAGACACGGCCCAGACUCCUACGGGAGGCAGCAGUGGGGAAUCUUGGACAAUGGGGGCAACCCUGAUCCAGCCAUGCCGCGUGAGUGAAGAAGGCCUUAGGGUUGUAAAGCUCUUUCAGCAGGGACGAUAAUGACGGUACCUGCAGAAGAAGCCCCGGCUAACUCCGUGCCAGCAGCCGCGGUAAUACAGAGGGUGCGAGCGUUAAUCGGAUUUACUGGGCGUAAAGCGUGCGUAGGCGGCUUUUUAAGUCGGAUGUGAAAUCCCCGAGCUUAACUUGGGAAUUGCAUUCGAUACUGGGAAGCUAGAGUAUGGGAGAGGAUGGUAGAAUUCCAGGUGUAGCGGUGAAAUGCGU
rnacentral:rRNA from 1 species